AUCCAGGAAUUGGGGAACGUGCUUCUGACAACAGGCAUCAAUCUCGAUAGAAGAUGAUGUGACCUCGGAAGAAACCAAACGUACCUACAUGAGAUCAAUUUAUAAAAGUGACUGAAGGCUUGGAGAGGAGAGUUCAAAGGUCUACGGGCGCAUUCGGAAGGAGUUAGCCCUCUACAAGGAAAUUUAUGAAGACCAGGAGAAGACCGCUGCUCGACCUAAAUUGGACUAAUCCUUCAUUUCCUCAAGAUGAAAAAACACUACCGGGGUCAGCAGAACAAAUUUCUACUUCUGCUGUCUCCUGUGAAGACUCUUAAUUGUAAUACACCUGGUUUAAUUACGGUUGUGACACUUAUACUUUGAAUUACUCUGAUUCUAAAUAGUUUAGUGAUGUUUAAUGUAACAGUAUAAUAACUGCUUACUAUGUGCCACGCUUACUAUAUAUCAACCACUGGGGUGAAUAUAAUAUAUGCAAUGUAAAGCACCUAAAGGAAUUUUGUAUUUGUCCAGGAGUUCUGGAAUAAAUCACAAUUAAUAACAAAGUCUGGGAAAACAUAACCCAUGAUAUAGCUGUGUUUGAGGAAUACAUCAUGCCUGUAUCAUGAGGGAUGCCUGUACUUCAAAACCAUCAUAUUAAAAUGUCAACCUGACAAUA